ensembl:lncRNA
AAGUGUUUCAUCUUGUUUCAGAUAUUUAUUAGCUCACUUAUUUUCAGACUGAUAUUUUUUUACCUUUUUUAAUAGUUGGAAGGAGAAGAAAACAAGACAGCACAGUACUACAGUGAGUUGUUUCCCCCCCCCCCCCCCCUCCGUUUUCUUCAGGCUAUUAUGAGAGAGAAAACACUGACCUCAAUGAAUCAGUAUUCUAUCUGAUCCCCCAUGAUUCUUAAAAGUCUUUUCCCUACCAUUAGAGCUGAGAAACUCUUAAAAAAAUCAACAAAAAAACACUGAAAAUAGAAGAAACAUAACUCCACUAUAUUUGAGAAAGAACCUGUAAAGGGCCACAAAAAGGAGCCAGGGUUUUAUCUCUGCAUGUGGAGUGACUUUCCCUGGUCUACAGAAGUUAAUACUUGCUAUAACCUUGCUAAUGGGGUACCUCCUGUGAAGGAGACAUUGUGGGAGCCUCAGGAGCCAACCUGACUGUGGAAGACUAGUGCUGUGCCAGAGAUCCUCAUAAGGUCCCAAGUGACAAGUACUGCUUUAACCAAAGUAACAGAUCCUUUCAGUAUGCACUUAACUAAAGUUGAUAUUAUCUAAUUUCAUGUUGAGAAAGGGCAUACAGAAAGUUAUAGAAAAAGAGCAACAAAAGCCAAAGUUAAAAUACUUAAACCUACAUUCAAGUCUUUUGGGUUCAGACACUAUUGAUUAUCUAAAGUUUAGUCAUGCAGAGUUCAUAAUCAAAAUGAUGUCCUUCAUGUUAGGUGAUUGUGACUUACUUCCUGCUUUAAUAAAUCCUAUAAAUACACUUUUUAGCAGAUACAUCAAUAUUUCUUUUUUUUUCUUUUCUUGUUAGAUCUCUACAGGUAUUUGAGUCCCCAGCAUGCUGAUUAUGACAAUCAGGAAAGAAUAACACCACCUGCAUCUUUAUUGCUAAAAUGAACUUUAUGAGCCUUUUUUAAUGUAGUUUUCUAGUCAGAGAACUAUCUUAAGUGAUUCAGUAGUGUAUGCUAAUGAUUAAAUGAGGACUGUGAGUAAAUGAAUAAAAGAGAUAAGAUGAGGAAUAUGGAAACUAGAGUAAGUGUUUGUAGGCCACACUUCUACCACGGCUUCCAAAUCCUCCAUUAUUACAAACACGCUUUCCAGGAUCACAAUUUUGUGAAUAACUAUAUGCUUAGUUGUUUUAAAUAUGUGGUUAUCUAUGACCUCCUUCAUGGCUUUUCCACUAUGCCUAUCAGGAGGCAUAGUGCCUACGGAUCAAAAGCAGAUCAGGUUAGCAAGCUUUCAUAAUGCAGUCAAUGCAUUUUCAUUUUCACUUAUUACCAAAGCAUCUCUCAUUCUCUUAUCUUUUAUGAAAGGCUGGAGCAAAUGCUAUACAACUUCAACAGUGUCUUUCCACACCAAAAAUUCUCAGACUGCUUCUGGUUAUUUAAGUCACCACUACAAUGUAAUUCUGCCACUUGGGAGUUUGCUAUUCUCAGAAAUGCUGCUCAGUGAAAUACAAUAAGUUCUGAAAUAUAAUUAUUCUGAAGUGUUUGUCCUAUUCAUUAAUUUCUCUCUCUCUCUC